GACGAACGCUGGCGGCGUGCUUAACACAUGCAAGUCGAACGGAAAGGCCCUGCUUUUGUGGGGUGCUCGAGUGGCGAACGGGUGAGUAACACGUGAGUAACCUGUCCUUGACUUUGGGAUAACUUCAGGAAACUGGGGCUAAUACCGGAUAGGAGCUCCUGCUGCAUGGUGGGGGUUGGAAAGUUUCGGCGGUUGGGGAUGGACUCGCGGCUUAUCAGCUUGUUGGUGGGGUAGUGGCUUACCAAGGCUUUGACGGGUAGCCGGCCUGAGAGGGUGACCGGCCACAUUGGGACUGAGAUACGGCCCAGACUGCUACGGGACGCAGCAGUGGAGAAUAUUGCACAAUGGGCGGAAGCCUGAUGCGACAACGCCGCGUGCGGGAUAACGGCCUUCGGGUUGUAAACCGCUUUCGCCUGUGACGAAGCGUGAGUGACGGUAAUGGGUAAAGAAGCACCGGCUAACUACGUG
rnacentral:rRNA from 1 species